rnacentral:rRNA from 1 species
CAGUAGCCGCGGGAACACGUAGGUGGCAAGCGUUGUCCGGAAUUAUUGGGCGUAAAGGGCUCGCAGGCGGUUUCUUAAGUCUGAUGUGAAGGCCCCCGGCUCAACCGGGGAGGGUCAUUGGAAACUGGGAAACUUGAGUGCAGAAGAGGAGAGUGGAAUUCCACGUGUAGCGGUGAAAUGCGUAGAGAUGUGGAGGAACACCAGUGGCGAAGGCGACUCUCUGGUCUGUAACUGACGCUGAGGAGCGAAAGCGUGGGGAGCGAACAGGAUUAGAUACCCCAGUAGUCCCUGUCUCUUAUAC